rnacentral:rRNA from 1 species
GAUGAACGCUGGCGGCGUGCCUAAUACAUGCAAGUCGAGCGAACGGACGAGAAGCUUGCUUCUCUGAUGUUAGCGGCGGACGGGUGAGUAACACGUGGAUAACCUACCUAUAAGACUGGGAUAACUUCGGGAAACCGGAGCUAAUACCGGAUGAUAUUUUGAACCGCAUGGUUCAAAAGUGAAAGACGGUCUUGCUGUCACUUAUAGAUGGAUCCGCGCUGCAUUAGCUAGUUGGUAAGGUAACGGCUUACCAAGGCAACGAUGCAUAGCCGACCUGAGAGGGUGAUCGGCCACACUGGAACUGAGACACGGUCCAGACUCCUACGGUAGGCAGCAGUAGGGAAUCUUCCGCAAUGGGCGAAAGCCUGACGGAGCAACGCCGCGUGAGUGAUGAAGGUCUUCGGAUCGUAAAACUCUGUUAUUAGGGAAGAACAUAUGUGUAAGUAACUGUGCACAUCUUGACGGUACCUAAUCAGAAAGCCACGGCUAACUACGUG